rnacentral:rRNA from 1 species
GGCGAUUACAGGUACGGGCUCUGAGAGGAGAAGCCCGGAGAUGGGUACUGAGACAAGGACCCAGGCCCUAUGGGGCGCAGCAGGCGAGAAAACUUUGCAAUGUGCGAAAGCACGACAAGGUUAAUCCGAGUGAUUUCUGCUAAAGAAAUCUUUUGCAAGUCAUAAAACCACUAGUGAAUAAGGGGUGGGCAAGUUUUGGUGUCAGCCGCCGCGGGAAAACCAGCACCUCAAGUGGUCAGGAGGAUUAUUGGGCCUAAAGCAUCCGUAGCCGGCUCUGUAAGUUNUCGGUUAAAUCCAUGUGCUCAACGCAUGGGCUGCCGAAAAUACUGCAUAGCUAGGGAGUGGGAGAGGUAGACGGUACUCGGUAGGAAGGGGUAAAAUCCUUUGAUCUAUCGAUGACCACCUGUGGCGAAGGCGGUCUACCAGAACACGUUCGACGGUGAGGGAUGAAAGCUGGGGGAGCAAACCGGAUUAGAUACCCGGGUAGUCCCAGCUGUAAACGAUGCAGACUCGAUGAUGCAUUGGCAUAUAGCCAGUGCAGUGUCGCAGGGAAGCCG